CCCCGCGCGAUGUCCGCCCCUUCCUGGUUGCCAUGGAGACCGCUUGCCGGCGUCCCAAAAUGGCGGCGGCGGGGCCGCCGCUUUCUUCACCGCCCGGAAGGGAAGGAAGACAGACCGGCGGCCUGAAACGACAGCGGCUUUAGCGAGGGCUUGCCCUUGGGGAAGGAGCGUCUCCAUGCCUAGGCAGGACGGGGGGCCCCGUAAACCAGGAAGCGGCCCUGGAGGCGCCACCAGCAUGAGUGAAGACGAGGAGCCUCAGUAUGUGGGAGAUUCCUUCUACCUGGACUUUCCCGAGCCUGUGGGAUGCGGCUCUGGGUGAGGAACCAGAGGAAAGGAGGAAAUAAAAAUCUAUCAAAAUGGUGAGUUAGUAGCCUUGCAAAGUAGUGUAUGCACAUCGUGAUUUUGUACCCUUAAAACAGACGUAAGUACUCUCAGAAAUGCCUCACAAAUAAAUGUGGUGCUACAUUUAACGCAAAUAAACAACAAAUCCUUAAGUACUCCUUCUAAGAAAAUGUAAGUUUAGCUGCACUUUCAGGGUGAUCAGACUUAAGGCAGGGGAGUAAGCAAUAAACUUUUCUGAGAAAGUUUUUUAAAUGUCUCACUGGAACCAAAAAAAACCCCAACAUAUUUUUAAACUAGGAGGAAGUUUUCAGUUUUUUUUCAUAAAGUAAACAAAAAUAAUGGGCAUAUGUACUUCCGGGGAAGAACUACUGCACAGUAACUGGGAAAUAUGUGCUUUUCAGUAGCUGAAGUCUUGUAGUGGGCCUGUCCCACUGACCCCAUAGGAAUCCUAUGAGUGCUCUGCUUGUCUGUGGAAUGUGAUUGAGUGCUGUAGGGUCUUUGCUAUUCAUUUUUGCACUCAGAUAAUAAAAAUAAGAUGGUUCUUCUUAUUAUUACUGUUGUCAGGUUUUUGGUUCUUGUAUCUGUUUCCUGUCACACACUUCAGGUAUCUAUUCUUGGGUGUGUUUUCAGCUGCCCAAAUAUAUCCUGAAAACAAACCAAAGUCAGUUAACAUAAACCAUGCAAAAAAGCUUCAUAGCUGUCAGUGUAAGUAAGUUCAAAUUUUUCUGCAAAUGUUCAUUGUACAAAGCAUUACCAGGAAGUUGGUGUCACUGAAAAAUAAUUGGUUUGAAUUAUUUAAAAAAUUCAGCUUUGAUUUUGUGGCAACAAGAUCAUUUGAGUAUUGUGCAGUGAAUGUAUGUAUUUGAAUAUAUCACUAUAUUUUCUGAAGCUAAUGAUUCCAGAAAAACUUUGUCAUUCACUCAAAUUUUAAAUUCAGUACUCCUCAAAAGACCUUCACAUAAGCAGUGUCUCCAGGUUUAACUUCUGUACAUGUAAAACUUCUAGAUGCUAGUUAACCUUUCUACAGGCUGUGGAAUCUCCUGAGAGAAGACCUGUGUCAGAAAUAGCAAUUGAAGGUAUGUGCAUCACUGAUGUUCCAAGUUGUGUCUCAUGUAAAAUAUAUUUAGCCAUCCUGUGUUAGCAUGGAGGAGGCCUUGUUGUUGGUUCAUGUUCCCCGUGUGCUAAUUUGCAGUCUCCUAAUAAAUAAGAGUCUUUGCCUGAAAGGCCUCAGUCUAAGCCUCCAACCAAGUAUAUGGUUACAUGAAUGCUGAAACCUGCUACUUUGAAUAGUCCCAUUCUUGGAAGUGAGUGGUUUCAGAACUGUCUGUUGUUUUUCUUUAAAAGAAAAAGGGGAGUUUGUGGCUGCAUGGUGGAUUUGUAUGUAAGCUCCCAUAAUUCUGUCAAGUGUUGCCCUUCUUUGAAUGGUCUACUUGGGCUUUACGUGAGCAGUAAAUUCAUCUCUUUCAGGAUGAAGUUAUCAAUUUACUGGGCAUGUCUUAUAAAGCUCCAAGGCUUGUGGACCUGUGGUCAUGGCCAGGAUUUCCAGAUAUCAGCUAACUAUAAAGUCAAACUGUCACAGAACCAGAAAUCCUGUACAAAUACAGAAGAUCUUAAGAAUGUGUUAGGGCAAGAAACCUAAUUGCAUAAAUGAGCAUUUACAGAAUACAGUUCAUCCAGCUGGAUUGUAUGGAAGGAGAGAUCUUCCGAGCCAUCAGUGAAAUGAUGUAGUAGCUAUUUUAAGUCAGCAAUCAUAAUUUUACAAAUGCACAGAAACGAUUCCACGUUUCCCCUGCGUGGGCACCUGCCAGUUCCACUGCAGAAAUGUAAGACUGAAAGAGACAACUUCAGGUCAUCCAGUCCCAGUGCCUACUGUUUCAUCCAACCACAUAAUAGAUCCUCAUAGGAGAAAUGGGAUUUAUGUGUUUCAAAGGUAGUGACACUUUUUUCCUCUGCUACUUCACACAGAACAACUGCUCCAGAUCAUCACUUCUCUGAUGGUUAGAAGUGCAGUUAUGCAGAUUAACUUACAUGCAUUUUGUUUGGAUAUCUUGUGUGUAGGUAGCAAUGCUGUAUAUGUGUAUGUAUAUAUAUGAUAUAUUGUAUGCAUUUAAUAAAUAUGUGCUCUGGAUAGGGCUUGUUUUGUUUUUUCAGUCUCCACUUGUGAAACAGACUCUCUGCUUCUUGGUCACUCUCAUAUCUUUUCACUGCAUCUCUUCCCAUUAGUACUUUUAUUCUUAAUCAUAAUAAGCCUAAGAAGUUCCAUGUGCAAAAGCAUUGUUACUUCCCCAUGUCUUCUGGAAAGUCCUGGGUGAUUUAAAUUUUAGGAUUGUAUUUAACUUUCUCUACCAAAAUCAUAUUAAUGACUCUUUAUCAUCCUUCAAUUAGUUAUUAUUCCAAUUUCUCCUGUCAACUUUUGAUUUAUAACUUUUUGGUUUAUGGCAGAAAUUAUUUCCAAAUGAUGAAUUUGCCACUUGUACUUCUCAAAUUUUAUUUUAUUAAUUUGUUUUCUUUUUCCUGUCCAGGACUGUUCUGAGUUGUUAUGAAGAAGAAAUUGGUGUACUUGUCAGGGUAAACAUAAAUAAAAAAUGAUUCUUGGCCAUAAAAUGUGUACUAGGGAUCCUGCUAGUAUUCAUGGGAAUGGUGAAUAGUUUUUGUUUUGAGUGCAUGUAGUGUUACAUAGGAUGGGAGUCUUUUUGUUCAAGAUUGACAUGAGGGAUGGCAAAUUGUUUCACAUGUGCCUUUCCAUUACCUUUCAUUGUAAAUGUUUUUCAAUCUUGAAAUGCCAAAUUAAUAUUUGAUAUGCCAGUUAUAAUUUGGCAAGGUUUAUCACAAACAACAAUAGAUUUUAUGUGUUUGUACAAAGCAAGCAAUUAAUCCUAUGGCUUUCAACAUUAAAUAUAAGAUGGCUUGAGAGAGCCACACAAAUAACCAACAUUUCUUAUAAAUUGUGUAAUAGAUGAUAAAUACAGGUUUUGAAAAGUGCAAGAGAGGAAUCCAGAUGGUGGGGUAGUGUAGGAAAGAUCGGUCGCUCAUUUUGGUCAAAAAAGGAAUAUAGACACACAUCCCCCACCCCCCAAAAAAAGUCUGGUGCUUAAUCUGCUUAUAGGGCAGGCUGAUAACUGGAAUGAUGAAGCUGGUAACAAAAGAAAUGUAAUGGGAAAAUGAUCCGCUCAACAUGUAAUUAAUACUAGCAUCUGUCACCAUUUAAUGAAUGCUACACUAAUCAGAAGAUUUUGUCACGUUAGUAAAAUGUUCAGCUACUUACCCUCAAAAGACCAGCCUGGUACGUUCACAAGGCUGCCAUUGUUCUGUGCAGUAUUCUACAUAAGAUCUGCUCCUGUAACAGCCAGGAUAACUGAACUCUCUCAAAUAUGGAACUGCAGAAUUGUGUGUUUGGGCAGAGGUCAGCAUCUGGGUUCUCUAUAACAAAUAUACACAGGACAUGUAGAUGAGCAAACAGUGUAAGUAACUGGGCAAACAGUCCUGAUGAAUGUUCUUGUUCUUUACCCCUCAUUGCUCCUAUUGUUUAGUGUUCGCCUCUACAUCUUCAAUCAGUUUCUGAUUAAAUCAAUACAUUCUGAGCACAGCAAAUUAUUUUGGAUAAUGGCUACUACACUAUUUGCUUAAAAGGUCCUAUAAUUAGUUGUUUCAUUUUAGAAAUAAAGGUUUUUUUCUGGCUUUUUUAGUUGUGAGCAAAGAUUAUGAACCUACAGCACUUAAAUCUUUAAGAACAUUUUUUUUAAAGUCCUUUUUCAAUAAAUAACCCAGUUCUAUGACUGAUCUCUGUAAGUCCUACACUACAAAAAUGCAAACAAACAAAAAACCACCACCACAUCAACAACAUAACCCAAAAAAAUUUUUUUUAAAUUAAGAAAAAAAAAUAACACCAAAAAAAUCCUCACACCAAAACAAAAAACCCCACCAAAUUACCAUUUUCCAUUUUAGGAGACAUUAAUAAAUGAUCGUUGUAGUGGUUGUGGGCUGGCUGAUUUUCAGUUGUGAGUACCUUCAUGCUUUAUUAAACCUGCAAGGAUACCUCGUCCAUUUGGGAAAAAGGUACUAUAAAGUUAACUGCUAUGUCUUGGGCUUGUUUUUAAGUCUUUAUGAUAACAUUUGAUAUGUAACCUAUUUGAUUGACAGCAGAUGCCAUUCGAAGUGCUUAAGCCAGAUGGAUGGAGGGGGGGGAGGAAUUAACAGAUGUUCUAAUAGGCAUUGAGCUGAAAUUAAUUUCAUGUUACACAAAACAAUUUUUUGAAAGAUAAGUCUUAUUUUAAGUAAAGAUUUGUGGGAGAUGAACCUUUUUCAAAAUUCUACUCCUUUUUUUGCAUUUGAAACAUGAACGAUGCCAGUUAUUACCUACCUGGACCAAUUCUAUUCAAGUCUCUUCUUUGACUUUUCAAACAGAGAUUUGUGUUCUUAACAAAAAAAAGAGCAUAGAAAUUUCUCAAGAGGGAGUUUAAAAAAAUUAUAUUUUUAUUAUGAGCUAUUUGUAUGGAGGACUUCAACUGCAUAGAACUAGGAACUUCUUGUUGAUGUUUUAAAUUAGAAAUAUUUCAAGUAUAGCUUGAUGAGACCAGGAGAAGGCAGCCAUUUUGUACCAGCUCAGGAAAUGCUCUGCUAUGCUGAAAAGGUAUAUUUCCAAAAGAAUCAAACAUUUUCAUGGUAAUGGUAUUACACAGUAUUAAGCAGUAAUUAUCAGGAGAAUGUUUGUUAAGCCUAAAAUACAUAGGGAAAUCUCCUUUGCAUUUUUGCUGUCUCUAAUUCAGGCAUCAAAGUAAACAGUAGAGCUGCUGCUUGGAAAAUGGAGACAGUUUCUCUGGGGAAAUAAUGCUGCACUGGAAAAACAUGAAUAUUGUUGUCAGGUGUCUGUCCAAAGCUAAAAUAAGUUGAUUUAGCAGUGCCGUGACGUGUUGUGGUUUGGAUGCCUGAUGGUACCUCUCACUUCUUCCAUGAUGUGCCACCUCUGAAUGUAUGCAGUGGCUAGAUCUUAUCCAUAAGGUUUUGGGAAAGAUUUGGGAAUUCUUUGGUCAUGCUGCAGUAUUGAAGAUGUAAUACAGCAGAAGAACUGACAUAGGAAAAUUUGGACUUUUAACAACUGAAAUGCAAUUUGUGAUGUGUUGCACUGGCAAUGCUGGAAUUUCAGGGCUUUCCUUAUUAGUGGAGCAAGAUUUCUCUAAAGAAGGCAUCACAUACAGCAAUGUAAAUGGUGGGUUUUUACCUUCCCAGAAGACUCAUUUCUCUUUUUUGGAAGGUGGUUGUUUUGGCUUUUUUUUCCCCACAAACAUUACCAAAUGCUUAACUCUGUGAAACAUUCAUUUAUUGAUUUGAAAUUAGAUAUAUAACUGAUAUAGGAUGAUUAUUACUUGUGAAGUUGAGUUCUUAGUUAACCCUAUGAUAAUGCAGUGCUGUCAUGUGGGUUUAUAAAAUUCUUUUUCAGUAGUGUUUGAGCUGUCAUUUGAAGAUGUGUUGGAAUAUUCUCAUACCAGUUUCAAUUAAGGUAUGUUAAAGAUGAUAAAGUAAUCUUAGUUAAUUCACUAUUACUCUGGUUUUACUAUAUCACUGGUAGCCUAGAGUGUAUUGGGUUUUGUCUACUUACAACUAGUCUUUAAUAUACAGAUAGCAGGAUCUCACAGAAUUGCAAUGUUUAAGCUCCAAUUUUGAGUUUUAUGCAUGGUUUUAAUAUUUGUGGCUUUCUUUAGAAGUAUCAUACUUUAUCUAGUCCUCCCUGAUAAGGAUGAUUUUCAGGUCAUGAAGGUGUAAUAGUUUCUCAAGGUAAGCAAUCACGACUACUUUCUGCUUAAUAAUGUGAACAUUUCUUGCUGUAAUCAAGUGAUGUUCACGUGUUCAUUAUUGCUAGUGUUUGUUCUUUAGAAACAAAGAAGACUGAGUUAUAUUUUUUGCUUGCCUUACUUAGGUAAUAAAUCCUUAUCAAUCUUGUUCUCUGUGUUGGGAUACUUCAGGAGUAAUUCUACUUUUGUGUUACCAAAGCUCUGGGAAAACCAAGGAAGAAAGAUACUAAAAUAGGAAUAAACCAGCUUUGGUAGACAUCAUCUUAUUGAAUCAUCAUCUCAUUUAAUCAUCAUUUUAUUUGAGUAAGUCGUCCAGGGAGGUGCUGGAAUCACCGUCUCUGUAAGUGUUCAAGAGGUGUCUGGAUGUGACAGUUGGACAAUGAUUUCAGGAUGAUUAUGGUGGUGCUGGAUUGAUGGUUGGACUGGAUAAUCUUGAAGGUCUUUUCUGGCCUUGGUGAUUCUGUGAUUCCAUGAUUAUUUACACCUAGGUGGAGGAGGUCUGCUUUCCCAAGAAGUAUAUGAAUCUUGGGAAAGAGGUAUGGUGGGAGGGGGCAGGGUACAAUUAUUUAUCUCUUUUCAAGAAUGAACUUGAGUGGAUCUUCACUUAGAGCCUCAGAUAGGACCAACACAUUCUCUGUGCUUUGCUUAUUAAAAUCUAACACUUCCUACAGCACAAGUGAGAGAUUUUUAGCCCUGCUGAGUUCAUGUGGCCUGCACUUCUAUGUUUAGGUUUGUGUUUGUUCGGUUUGUGUUUCUGAUUCCCUGUUAUAACUUUUGCAACUGAUCAAUUUCAAGUCAACUUGGUAGAAAUAAUACCACCUCCUUAGGCUGCUGGAUAGGUCUGCAAGUGAGCCCUGUUCCAUGGAUGGAAAGGCUGCACAUUCUGAGCUCAAGUGACUGGAUAUAUGCACAAGCCAUGGAAAAAGUUUCAAUCAGCACUCACAGUCCAUGACAAAACCAAUCUUUAAUUCCAGUUAUUACUGUUUGUUUUGACUAGAAGGGGAAUGAGUAUGUCCUGAACUGACAGAAAAUGGACUGCCUGUUGAACUUGGCUCAGGCUCAGAGUCUUUAAAUAUGCUGGGGUUUUGCAGUAGAUGAUCCUAAUUGCUCCAUUAGUUGAAGCAAAAAGUUGUACCACAUUUUAAUGCAUGGCAAAAUUGAUAAUCAUUUUUUUAAAACUUGAGCUUUCAAAGAAGUAGUCUUCUAUAAUUUUUGUUGACCUCUUUUUUUAAAUUUGUCUUAUAAAAGUAGAUUUGAUAUGUGAAUAAGUGCUGGGGAGAAGGAUUCUAGCUUUUUGGUUUUUAUUCAUUGCUUGUAGUGUAAGGUUUUCCUGCAGCAUUUGAUAUUAAUAUGAUGUCACAAUGAAACAUCUGUUUUACGUUACGUGGAUGCAAUGAUUUAGCUAAUUAAAUUAUUCUUAGCAAGCAGUUUUCUACUAUUAUUCUGUGUUUGUAGUAGGUUACAAAUAAUUCAGUAGGUUAUAAAUACGAUCUGCCUGCUUUUUCUUGAAAAGUCUUACUGAUGGUUCAGAGGUUUCCUAUCCUAUAGGAAGUAUUGAAAGCCACAGUUACCAUUCUUUUCUAAAAUGUAGUCAUUUCUUCCUCCUUCUAAAAUUAUCUCUAAAAUUGAGGGGUUCCCCUCUAUUUUUUAUUAAAAUUGUAAAAUAAAAUAAAGCUGUUUUCUUUUUAGAAAAAUGCUGACAUAAAUAGGAGUAUUGCAAGUAUAAAUUACUAUGUUUGUGAGUUGUAUUGUCAUACUGAUAUUAUUUCUGUCCAUAGUUCUUGCUGUUCCACACAGUCAGAUGUUUUUACACCUCCUCACCUCCUGUUAAGAGCUUUGCUGCUCUUAAGUAUUCAUGUAUUAUUAUUUUUCUAUUAAUUCUCCAUAAAUAUAUGUACAUAUAUAUGUACACUGGAAGAAGAGAUAUCUAUAUUCUGGAAUAAUAUUCUAGUUAUCUGUACUGAUUUAUUUGCUACCUGUGGGUUCAAAUAAAAAUCUUCUCACUAGAUCCAUGGUUUGCUGCUAAAUGCCAGUAAAAUGUUUUCCUGUCAAGUAUUGGUAUUUCCUGUCAUUGUCUCCUGGUUUUCAUUUCUAAUAUUUUAUCUCUUUUCAUGUGGUUGGGAUUUUCAGAGAAUUUUUUUAUAAGGUGCCUGAACAUUACUAUUUUACUAAAUUUAUAGGAACUACCAUACAGAUGUAAACAUCCAUGUUUGUUUUGAGAUGUUUUCUGUUCUUUUUGGGAAGUGAAAUAACAUAUCAUUAGUUUAUUUUCAUAAUUUCAUAAAGCCAAGAGGAUAGAGCAAGGUUUUGUAUUUGGUUUUGCAGUGAUGGAAAGUUAAUUGAUGAUAGUGUCAAGCGAGAGAAGAGAGGUCUGCUUAUAUUUCAGGAUGAGUGAACAAUUAGUACAAGUCAUCAAAUGUUCUCCAGCACUCGCAGAAUGAAAAUUUCAUUGAAAACUUAAAACAAAUUAAAUACUAAAUAUACUUUUAAAUAGCCAAACCAGAUCACACUAUUAUUUCCAGAAAUAAAUAAUUUCAAGAAAAACUCAAA